rnacentral:lncRNA from 1 species
UGGGCAGCGCCACUCAGCGUCUCCCGGUUGCCAUUCUUCCACUCGGCAUACUUUCGAAGCAAUGACUCGGGCGCAACACCCCUUCUGCUCGUAGGUCAGAACUGUUGUUGCAUGCGUCAUAACCCAUAGGCCCAGAAGCUUUGACAAGGUGUCAAGAGCCACAUAACGUCGAGCACCUGGAUGCAGCAAACAGACUGGCACUGCCGGCCUCAACCGAACACCCACCAUUCCCCCAAAAACAGCACACCUGACACGACAAGGAACGACAAGAUAAGCUUGCGCGGGCCCCGGCCCGCGGGGGUGAAAGCCCGAGCCUGCGUUGAGUACAGUCUCUCCUCUCAGGUCUGCUGGUUCCUGCAAUCCACGGCCCCCCAUGACCAUUCUUCCUCCAACAACGCAGCGCCUACGCCUCACGCCAACAGCCCUGAUAC